rnacentral:rRNA from 1 species
GUCUGCAGCCAUACCACCAUGAAUGCACCUGAUCCUGUCUGAUCUUGGAAGCUAAGCAGGGUCGGGCCUGGUUAGUACUUGGAUGCGAAAAUUUGUGUGAGCUCAGCAAGAUAUAGAAU